AUGUUCUAUACUGUUGUAGCUGAAUUUUCUGAUGAUACACUGAACUCUAUGCUGGGGGGCAAGGAAGCUAGGGACAAAAAAAGGGAAGCUACCGUACUAGAGGACCAUACAAAUGUGAUAUUUGACGAAACUCUCAAAUCUGAGCCAUGCAACUUUAGUGCAGUGGCCAGAAGACAUAAGGUGAGAAAGCAAUUCGCACAUCUGAAGGUGAGGAAAUCUCACAUUAUUUAUCAAUUUAUGAAAGGGGGCAUCCAUAUGCAUCCAAAUGUUUUCUCUCAGUAUAGGAGUAAUAAGGGUGAUGUAGUCUUAUAG
rnacentral:rRNA from 1 species